UAGGGAAUAUUGCUCAAUGGGCGCAAGCCUGAAGCAGCAACGCCGCGUGGAGGAUGAAGGUUUUAGGAUUGUAAACUCCUUUUGUCAGAGAAGAUCAUGACGGUAUCUGACGAAUAAGCACCGGCUAACUCCGUGCCAGCAGCCGCGGUAAUACGGAGGGUGCAAGCGUUACUCGGAAUCACUGGGCGUAAAGAGUGCGUAGGCGGAGUGGCAGUCAGAUGUGAAAUCCUAUGGCUUAACCAUAGAACUGCAUUUGAAACUGCCACCCUAGAGUGUGGGAGAGGUAGGUGGAAUUCUCGGUGUAAGCGCAAAAUCCGUACCC
rnacentral:rRNA from 1 species